AUUGAACGCUGGCGGCAUGCCUUACACAUGCAAGUCGAACGGCAGCACGGGAGCAAUCCUGGUGGCGAGUGGCGAACGGGUGAGUAAAGUAUCGGAACGUGCCCAGUCGUGGGGGAUAACGUAGCGAAAGUUACGCUAAUACCGCAUACGAUCUAUGGAUGAAAGCGGGGGAUCGCAAGACCUCGCGCGAUUGGAGCGGCCGAUAUCAGAUUAGGUAGUUGGUGGGGUAAAGGCUCACCAAGCCGACGAUCUGUAGCUGGUCUGAGAGGACGACCAGCCACACUGGGACUGAGACACGGCCCAGACUCCUACGGGAGGCAGCAGUGGGGAAUUUAGGACAAUGGGCGAAAGCCUGAUCCAGCCAUGCCGCGUGCAGGAUGAAGGCCUUCGGGUUGUAAACUGCUUUUGUACGGAACGAAACGGCCCUUUCUAAUACGGGGGGCUAAUGACGGUACCGUAAGAAUAAGCACCGGCUAACUACGUGCCAGCCGCCGCAGUAA
rnacentral:rRNA from 1 species